AUGCACGCUGGCGGCGUGCCUAAUACAUGCAAGUCGAGCGAACAGACGAGGAGCUUGCUCCUCUGACGUUAGCGGCGGACGGGUGAGUAACACGUGGAUAACCCACCUAUAAGACUGGGAUAACUUCGGGAAACCGGAGCUAAUACCGGAUAAUAUAUUGAACCGCAUGGUUCAAUAGUGAAAGACGGUUUUGCUGUCACUUAUAGAUGGAUCCGCGCCGCAUUAGCUAGUUGGUAAGGUAACGGCUUACCAAGGCAACGAUGCGUAGCCGACCUGAGAGGGUGAUCGGCCACACUGGAACUGAGACACGGUCCAGACUCCUACGGGAGGCAGCAGUAGGGAAUCUUCCGCAAUGGGCGAAAGCCUGACGGAGCAACGCCGCGUGAGUGAUGAAGGUCUUCGGAUCGUAAAACUCUGUUAUUAGGGAAGAACAAAUGUGUAAGUAACUAUGCACGUCUUGACGGUACCUAAUCAGAAAGCCACGGCUAACUACGUG
rnacentral:rRNA from 1 species